UCUUCGCUUCCUCUCAGCCGAUGAAACCUGAUCGAGUUCCUACUCUCAACCUAUCUUCUCUUCCUCUCAGCCGAUGAAACUAGAUCGAGUUUGAUGAAUCAAUUUUGAUUCAGUUUCUUCAUCAUCUAUAAUAGGAUUUUUAGGGAUUCAUAAAUCGAUUUUAGGGUCUCAAUCUGUAUUAUGAUUCAUUUAUUCGAUUUUAGUUUGUUCGUCGGAGUUCGAACUUGGAAGAACUGAUCUUCACUCUCAGCUAAUCGUGUGAAAGCAUCUGGUCUACUUUGUUUAAUUUAGUUUUGAUUUCGAUUUAUUUUCAGCUAGAUCUAGGUAUUUGUUUUAGGGUUUCAAAAAGAUAAUUGAUUUAGGGUUUCUUGUUCAAUCGAUUAUGAGAUUUCGGUUUCUGAUUUAGGGCAUUUUAUUCAGCUGCGCAUGGGAAUGAAGUUGAUAAGUUGGCUGAGAAGCUACAAGGGGUUGGGAUUGCUUCUGGUAGCGCUGAUGGUGGUGUUCUAACUACUUCUAAGUUCAGGUUAAGAAGUAGAGGGAGCGGUCAGUUUUGUGUAUUAGUUCAAAUGUUUUUCUGCUAAUUGAGAUUGUAGAAUCUGUUCUUUCUCUGGUCCAAAUUAUAGUGAUCUGGGGUUUUUGCUAAGCUGUCCUGUAGUAACUUGAAAAAUAUAUCCUAACUUCUACUAGGUUGAGGGAGGUAUUACCUAACUUCUAUCCUAUUAGUAAUUAGAAAAUAUAUGUGACACCUGUAGAAGGCUCAUAACCCAAAAACAACUGUAUCUGUCCUAUUAGUGUAUACUGUUCAUGCAUCAAACAUUUCAGAACUUUCCAAUAUAGAAGUUUGACAACUCCGUCAACAACAGAAAAGUCAAUUGCCACUGUGCUUUUUAGUGUAUUAGUUCCUCUCCUGUCAUUUCGUUCAAAUGUGUACUUAAUUCCUUAAAUUUAACUGGCAUCAGUUUUUCGGUGUUUACAUACUGAAGUGCAUCUGCUGAUCUGGGAUCUAUUAAUGUAUAUGUGCAACCAUCUAUGGUGUUUGACUUAGCAACUUUUCUGUUUCCAGAGAUGUGAUGAUGCUAGGCAGUUCAUUAAAUUUCUUCAUCCCGAUCUUGGUGUUGGUAUUACAUCUUAGCCCUGAAGACCUUUUCAUCAUGUUGGAAAAGCUCGUUGAAUCCUUAACUCUUACUAUGUCUUUUGUGGCUCAUUUUUUCUGUACGUUCUGUAGAGCUUCCUGAAAGAUCUUAUUGUACAGAUUGCCGUAUUUAUGUGCAGGAGAAUACAAAUAACAGGUUUAAGAAUGUUUAUGUAUGAUGGCUUCUUUCACAUCUCACUAUAUACGAGUUGGUUGGUAUAAGUCGCCAGCAGAAUAUUAUCGAUAAAUGAUUCCAGAAAAACAGUGAAAAAGGUUGGAACAUUUUGUUGGCUUUCCAUCGCGAUUUGCAUAGUUGAUCUCCUUAUAUGAUCAAAUUUGGGGAUGGUGAGUUAUACAAUCUGAUAUUUACUAGCAUGCUUUAGGAUUACUGUGUACUCGCAUUUGCCAAUUUGUUAUGCGCUUUUGAGUUCAACUCCCAAUUUUAAAGUGUAAGUGGUUAACAAUCAUCAGCCAUCUCCAUGGGAUUGUCACUAGAGUAGUAUAAAAACCCCAUUCCUCAGAAGGAUUAUGUCAUAGCCACAUUCUGAUGAUGGUUAGUAGAAUACUUCCAGCACUAAUUUGACAAUUUUCCCCGGUCUCUUCAGGCUUGUUUCCCCACUCAAUGCCUCAAUGGUUGGUGAUUUUCUGGUCAGGCACAGGGAUUACACUCACCACAUUCAUUUUCUUGUGGUCAUGGCAACAUCAUCGGCUGUGAUUUUUCUUCAUAUUUGUAUUUGUGGCCAGAUUCUUUGUGCAGGAACUGCAAACGGCCUGGUUAUUAUCCUUAUGAAUAAGUCAGGGAUUACGGAGAACUUGAUGAAGAAUGCUUGGCAACUAUCUGCAAGUUUUGAGAAGUAUCUGCAAGUUUUUGUACGUAGUUUUUGAGCUGAACAUAUACCGACCUAAGUGAGAAGGAACUGAACUUAGGAAGUUUCUAUGUAUUCCCUCGGAAUUUGAUGUUCUUUUUUGAUAUGAAUUGAUUGAUUAAAUUUGAAUGUGGUAUGAGUCGAAUGAAUAUUGAUAUGAAUUGAAUGAAGCUAUUGUUGAAUGU